UACGAAGGGGGCUAGCGUUGUUCGGAAUUACUGGGCGUAAAGGGCGCGUAGGCGGCUUCGCUAGUCGGGUGUGAAAUGCCUGGGCUCAACUCAGGAACUGCACUCGAAACUUCGAGGCUAGAGUGUGGGAGAGGAUAGUGGAAUUCCCAGUGUAGAGGUGAAAUUCGUAGAUAUUGGGAAGAACACCGGUGGCGAAGGCGGCUAUCUGGACCACAACUGACGCUGAGGCGCGAAAGCGUGGGGAGCAAACAGG
rnacentral:rRNA from 1 species